rnacentral:ncRNA from 2 species
GAGGAAGCCCGGUGUGAUUCCGGCGCGGUCCCGCCACUGUGAGCCCGGAUCCAAGCCCCUCGCGGAGCUUCGGCGCCGGGUGAGUCAGGAACUC